CGGACGGGUGAGUAAUGUCUGGGAAACUGCCUGAUGGAGGGGGGUAACUACUGGAAACGGUAGCUAAUACCGCAUAACGUCGCAAGACCAAAGAGGGGGACCUUCGGGCCUCUUGCCAUCGGAUGUGCCCAGAUGGGAUUAGCUAGUAGGUGGGGUAAAGGCUCACCUAGGCGACGAUCCCUAGCUGGUCUGAGAGGAUGACCAGCCACACUGGAAUUGAGACACGGUCCAG
rnacentral:rRNA from 1 species